UACAGAGGGGGCAAGCGUUGUUCGGAAUUACUGGGCGUAAAGGGCGCGUAGGUGGCCUUCUAAGUUGAACGUGAAAUCCCUGGGCUCAACCCUGGACCUGCAUUCGAUACGGGCGGACUAGAGUUCGGUAGGGGAGACUGGAAUUCCUGGUGUAGCGGUGAAAUGCGCAGAUAUCAGGAGGAACACCGGCGGCGAAGGCGGGUCUCUGGGCCGAUACUGACGCUGAGGAGCGAAAGCGUGGGGAGCGAACAGG
rnacentral:rRNA from 1 species